AAAGAUCAAAGAAUUCAUUAUUCCAGCCCCAGAGCCACAACUGAAGAAGCGUAGAAAUCUCAGAACACGUCUCUUUUCCAAGUGGGAUGAGUUUGCCAGGGACCUUCCAGGGGGCUUAUUUCCGGGAAAAUCAUAUCCCCCCGCCCUGUAGCUUAUGCUACUAUGGCGACACUGGCGUGGGUGUGGCACUUAGUGAUUCCCAAUUGAUUAAGAACAACAUGCAAAGAAUCCAGGGCUUAUGCAUUUUGCAUGUUAAGUAAAGUCAGCAAAACAAUCUAAAGGCCAGUUUGUCGUUGUUGGACAAUUAAUGUCAUUUGUUUGUUUUGUUUGUUUGUUUGAAUGCAGACGUGAAUGUACAGCAAAUCACGGAAAGGUAGACAUGGAAAGAGAGCAUAGCAAGUGCAUCUUCACGGCUCCAGAGCGGUUUCUCUACAGUGAGCGAUGGAAGGGGGACAGGAUGAGGAGGCUGCACUCACGCUGCCCCACCCCUAGAAUUACAGCUACAACUUACGUGCUAUUCUGACCAGCUUGUGCAGGCCUGCAAACCCCGAACCGUUCCUAACCACAGUAGACCAUGAAGAACCCUGGCUUCCACAUUCUCCUUCCUCUAUGUCUUCCCUGGAAAGCUGGCCCUGCAGAUGGGACUCUGUUCCUGAAAGUAGUCGUUCUCUCGUGCCUCUUGACUUUUGGACUUGGGAAGUUGGAGCAACCUGAAGUAUCAGUUUCCAGAGCAAAAGAUGAGAGUGCCCAAAUAUCCUGUAAGGUUUCCAUCAACAGUUUUAAAAGUGUAGCUAUACACUGGUACCGGCAGAAACCAAAUCAAGGCUUAGAGUUUCUAUUAUAUGUUAUAGCAACACCUACCCAUAUUCUCAUAAAUGAGAAGUUCAAGAAAAUGGAGGCACGUAAAAAUACCAGUGCUUCCAUAUCCACACUGACAAUAUAUUCCUUGGAGGAAGAAGACGAAGCUAUCUACUACUGUUCCUACGGUGAUAGCUCAGGCUGGAGCAAGAUAUUUGCAGAAGGAACUAAGCUCAUAGUAAUUCCCUCUGAUAAACAAUUAGUUUCAGACAAAUCCCCCAAGCCCACCAUUUUUCUUCCUUCUGCUGCUGAAACAAAUCUCCAAAAGGCUGGGACAUACCUUUGUCUCCUUGAAAACUUCUUCCCUGAUGUAAUAAGGGUAUAUUGGAAAGAAAAAAAUGGAGAUAAUGUCCUGGAUUCCCAGGAAGGAGACACACUGAAGACUGGUGACACAUACAUGAAAUUUAGCUGGCUUACCGUGACUGAAAAAUCAAUGCAUAAAGAGCACAGAUGUAUUGUCAAACAUGAGUACAACCAAAGAGGAGUUGAGCAGGAAAUUUUCUUUCCUCCAAUAAAGAAAGUUGCCAUGAGUACCAACCCUACAACUUGCUGGCAAGAUAAAAAUGAUGCACUGCGGGUUCAGUUCACAAGCACCUCUGCCUACUACACCUACUUCCUCCUGCUCCUCAAGAGUGCGAUCUAUUUGGGCAUCAUCACCUUUUCUCUGUUCAGAAGAACUGCUGUCUGUGGCAAUAAAAAGAGGUCUUAAGGAAAUGAGUAGUGGUGCAACAGUUGGGUUUCCUUGCUAGCUUUGACUUCUGUAAUGUCACGUGGAUAUAUCGUCCUGUCUUUGCAGGAAAGUUUUCAUACUUUUACAAGCAAUUUAAGCAACUCCAGAAUAACUGAGCACACCUUCUUCCUGAUUCCAUCCUCUCCACUAGUCUCUUCUCCCAGAAGCCUGAAGCAUCUCAGCUCUAGAACACAUAGCCUGCAGCGUUUACCCAUGGCUGUGUUACUCUUGAACUAGCUACAUCCCUGAAAACCUCCACUCUAGAUAAUCUGAGUAGCCUCCUUUUUUAUUGAAUUUUGUGUCUUGUAUUCCAUAUUAGAGACAAUAAAUUUUGAAAAAGUCAGAA